GAUGAACGCUGGCGGCGUGCCUAAUACAUGCAAGUCGAGCGAACAGACGAGGAGCUUGCUCCUCUGACGUUAGCGGCGGGCGGGUGAGUAACACGUGGAUAACCUACCUAUAAGACUGGGAUAACUUCGGGAAACCGGAGCUAAUACCGGAUAAUAUAUUGAACCGCAUGGUUCAAUAGUGAAAGACGGUUUUGCUGUCACUUAUAGAUGGAUCCGCGCCGCAUUAGCUAGUUGGUAAGGUAACGGCUUACCAAGGCAACGAUGCGUAGCCGACCUGAGAGGGUGAUCGGCCACACUGGAACUGAGACACGGUCCAGACUCCUACGGGAGGCAGCAGUAGGGAAUCUUCCGCAAUGGGCGAAAGCCUGACGGAGCAACGCCGCGUGAGUGAUGAAGGUCUUCGGAUCGUAAAACUCCGUUAUUAGGGAAGAACAAAUGUGUAAGUAACUAUGCACGUCUUGACGGUACCUAAUCAGAAAGCCACGGCUAACUACGUG
rnacentral:rRNA from 1 species